UACAGGGGGUGCAAACGUUGCUCGGAAUUAUUGGGCGUAAAGCGCGCGUAGGCGGCCGCUUAAGUCGGAUGUGAAAGCCCCUGGCUCAACUGGGGAAGUGCACCCGAAACUGAGUGGCUUGAGUACCAAAGAGGGUCGCGGAAUUCCCGGUGUAGAGGUGAAAUUCGUAGAUAUCGGGAGGAACACCGGUGGCGAAGGCGGCGACCUGGGUAGAUACUGACGCUGAGGCGCGAAAGCGUGGGGAGCAAACAGG
rnacentral:rRNA from 1 species